rnacentral:lncRNA from 1 species
AAUCAUUCUCAACAGUUUUGCUUUCUUGGACCAUUUGUUUUAUGGUUUCAUUUCUGAUUCUCUAUCUAAAACAUUUACUGCUGCUGGUGUUCCGGCGGGAGAGAAGGAAGUGAAAGAGUAGAAGAAAUCAAUUCCCCUGCUUCUACGAAACUGUUUUUUAAGUGUUCAUUUUCAUCUAUUGUUAACGUGUUCAUUUAUUAAUCGCUACAGCAAUUUCUCUCCCCACCAAGACAGAUUUUUUCCUUGCACUUACUCUCUCUUUCUUAAGCUUUUUUGGCAGUUAUUCAUAUUCUUCAAUCUUCAUCUCUCUCAUGAGGUACCUCUCUCUGUCUCUGUCUCUCUCCCUCUCCGGUUUUCAGAAUUUUGUCCUUUUCUGUUUAUUGUAAAAUUGAGGUGAUUUUUCUUAGAAUCUUAGUUAAAUUCGUUUUUUUGGGCUUUAAGAAACGGGUUUGGGUGCAAAAUUCUAAUUUGGGUUGAUUUUAUUGUAAGUUAUAAAUUUUUGUGGUAUUAUUAAUGUUCUGUCCUUUUCUUCUAUUUUUGUUUAUCUGUUGCUUGUGGUGGAGUAGAAGUGCUAAAUUCGAGUGGGUUUUAUGAUUUUUCUGUUGUUUGUGUGAUUAGGUGGCCUGUCAAUUUUUAGUUGAUUUUAUCUAAUCUUGGGUUCUGGUUUGGGUUGACUAAAGAUAAAAAUUUUGAGUCGAUCAGUACUAUUUUGUUUUCAAUUAAUCCAUUUUCUAUUUGAGAAUCAAAAUAACUGAAUUUUUAGUUGAUCAGAAGCUGAGCAUUUUGGAUAAUUAUUUAUGUUUUAAUUUUUGGUUUAUGCAUUAACUUUUAUUUCCUGUUUUGUGGUAGAUUCUAGGGAUCAUUUCUUUAUUUGACAUGCCUUGUGGUGGGAGUGGAGUUCACUAUAUUUUUCAAUUUCUUAACUCAAUAUUCAAUCAGUUAAUAUAUUUGGGUCAUUUCUUAAUUUUGUAAACAGGGGAAGUUGGCGUCCCAAUGUAUUAUAGAAGUAGGUAAUUGAGUUUGUUGUGUAUACAUAUGCCUAUGCGUAUGCGUCUAUGUUUUUUCUUUUUAACUGAGCUUUUUUUAGAAUGAUUAUUUUUUUCCUUUAAAAAUCGAAUUUACGAAAUUUCUUACUAUUGUGUUUCAUUUGCUGUUUUUCUUGGUUUAUUCAAGCUUUUAAACUCUGGAUGGCAUUUUAGAUUCUCAUCCUCCUCUUUGAUUACAGGUUGAUCAGAUAGUUUAUAUUCGUUGUUUAAGGUACAGUUUUUUGAGUAAUUUUCAAUGGAGAACAAUUAGUUUGCUCUUUACAGAUGCGUUGCUUAAGCGUUUCCUUCUUGCCAAUAUAAAUAGUUUAUGGGAUCUAUUGAUGGACUUGCCAACCUUAAUUCAAAAAUGUAUUGAUAUGCUUUCUUACAUGCUUUUCUCUUCAGGAAGUGAUUCAAUGGAUAAACAUUUGGGUAAUUCAAUUACCGGAAAUUUUGAAGGUUACUCUUUUUCGUCACAAUUUAUGAAUCAUCAAAUCUUUGAUGAUUAAUACGUCAAAGCACAUUGUCAUGAGCACUUUUGAGAAACAUAUUCCCCUAUAACUUGAUUAUUUUACCCUUUUUUGUAGGCCCAUCUAAAAUUUCAUUUGCUAACAUCCCAGGAAAAGAGAAAAGUGCAUGGGGAAUCCCCCUUGGAACUGAUGCACAUUAUACAUCAAGUGAUGCUAGUUUGUUUUCUAGCUCAUUGCCUGUCCUUCCGCAUGAGAAGCGUAAGCAUGAGCAAGGAGUUUCUUUCCAAAUAGGUGUGUUUGGUUACUUCGAAACGAUUUCUUAGAUUUCUUUCCUUUCACGUGCAGUAAAUUUUAAUGACUCUGAUCAAAGUCGUCAAUCAGUUGAUGAUGGCUUCUCUAGAAUAAAGAAAACAUAUUUAGAAGAUGAAAAUAAGGACCCACUUGAAGAUAUUGAACUGACUCCAACAGGAAGCUUUCUUCCUGGUGAUG